AACUUCUGUUUUAUAAUUUGCUGUCUGGUGAAGACUAAUGCAAAAAGCUCGGUUGUUGAUCUGGGAAAGAUUGCUCUGCUGAUGCAAUUGUCCACUCAGCUGGAGUGAGGCCAAUCUCUCAUCACUUCAGCUCUCCUUGAUUGCUUCCUGCCCGAGCUCCGACACAAAAGUUUGUACAGGAAUUUGAAAAGUUAUUAUGAAAUCCCACAGAUCUUCACAAAGAGAAACUUGGCCUUAAUUUUUACUCAGAAAACAGUUACAGUAAAGAUUAUUUUAACAGAAGAGAGGAAAACCCUUGGACUCAGUGCAGCGAAUUGUCCAGUUUAGGAGACGCAACUGAGAG
rnacentral:lncRNA from 1 species